rnacentral:rRNA from 1 species
AACGAACGCUGGCGGCAUGCCUAACACAUGCAAGUCGAACGAGACCUUCGGGUCUAUUGGCGCACGUGUGCGUACCGCGUGGGGACCUGCCCGUAGGUUCGGUAUAACUCCCCUAAGGGGGUGCUAAUACCGGAUAGUGUCUUCGGGCCAAAGAUGUAUCGCCUUUGGGUGGGCGCUCGUUGGUUUAGCUAGUUGGUAGGGUAAAAGCAUACCAAGGCGACGAUCCCUGGCUGGUCGGAGAGGAUGACCAGCUACACUGGGGCUGAGACACGGCCCAGACUGCUACGGAGAGCAGCAGUAGGGAGUAUUAGAGGCGGGACGAUGGUGUGACACAGCAAUGCGGCGGAAGUGAUGAAGCGCGUAGUGUUGCAAAGCUGUUUUACACGAGACGAUAGUGACAGUACCGGGUAAAUAAGCUCCGGCUAACUCCGUG